rnacentral:rRNA from 1 species
CUACGGGCGGCACCAGUUAAGAAUAAUCUACAAUGCGCGAAAGCGUGAUAGUUUGAGCCAGAGUGCUUUUCUAUUGAAAAGCUUUUGUCAAAUGUAAAAAGUUUGACGAAUAAGGACUGGGUAAGACUAGUGCCAGCCGCCGCGGUAAUACUAGCGGUCCAAGUCGCAGCCAUUUUUAUUGGGUCUAAAACAUCCGUAGCUUGCUUAAUAAGUUUCUUGUGAAAUUUUGUGUCUCAAGCAUGAAGCUUGCAAGAAGUACUGUUAAGCUAGAGACUGGAAGACGUAAGAAGUAUGUUCAAAGUAACGGUUAAAUGUGUUAAUCUUGAGCAGACUAACAAUUAGCGAAGGCAUCUUACGAGGACAGUUCUGACAGUAAGGGAUGAAGGCUAGGGUCGCGAAAGGGAUUAGAUACCCGGGUAGUC